GGGGUAAAACGGGUGAUCGCUCUUCUUCGGGGAACCAGAAGGAGAGAGGAAAGUCCGGACUCCACAGGGCGUGGUGCUCCGAUGAUCGGAGGCUUUCUCCGAGAGGGGAAGGACGGAAAGUGCCACAGAAAACAAACCGCCCGCCUCAGGCGGGUAAGGGUGAAAAGGCGAGGUAAGAGCUCACCGGUUCGGCGGCGACGCUGAACGCACGGCAAACCCCACCUGGAGCAAGGCUGAAUAGGUGAGGAGGCUUUGGAUUCAAUCCGGAGCGCGGGAUGACCCGUCCCGUUCGACUCACGGGUAAGCCGCAUCAGAUGAAUGAUCACCGUCCCGGUUCAUACCGGGAAACAGAAUCCGGCUUACAGUUUUGCCCCCGGG
rnacentral:RNase_P_RNA from 1 species